GGAAGGCAGAGUCAGAGAGAAGCCAUGCAGCCCCGUUGGAGCCAGACAGAACUUUACUGGGAGCUGUUCUUCACAUGUUAACUUCAUUGUUUGUAACAGCUAUUGCCGUGACUGUAUCUAAUCUGCCUCCUGGACAGCAGGGAAAGGAAGAGAAGGUGCCCCUUGAGAAGCUUGGAGACACGUUCCUAGAAGCCAGCACAGGGCUUUGAUGCUUGAGGGCUGUUGGUCACGUGCCACAAUGUAGUUGAGGGAGAAGUGCUUGGAUCUCCACACCACAGGACAAUGUUCUACCAUGAUGUUGCGUCAUCAACUAUUGAAAAUUGGUUUGCGGAAGGUAUGCUUCCAUUUCAACACAUUCUGCUUGGACACGAGAGAUGAAGUCCACUUCCCAAAUUGUAAGCAUGGUUUGAGGAAUGUUUGAGCAACCUAUAUAUAAACUUACACUAAACAGGAAAUUCUGCGAUUUGAUCAAAAGCAUGCAUUCGCCCAUUUUAGCAAGAUGAUGCCUGCUGUUUCAAAUGACUGCAGACAAACGUCGGAGCUGGACACCUCCUCCUCCGUCAGCCAAGUCUACCCUGUUUCUGGGUCUCUACACCCUACAGAGGAAGCACCCAUCUCUCCCUUCUCCGUUCUACUACUGCUGACCUAGAAUCUGCUUCUGUACAGUUGCCACAAACUACACGUCUGCUCUAUUCUCUCUGAAACUAGGGCAACCUGUGGAAAACCCAAAUCUGAGCGCGUUGUUCCUCUUCUUGAAAUGAGAGCAUUGUUCCACAGGCAAACUUCUCCACGUGGCACGAGACUCUGAGAUGUGGCCUAUUUACAUCUCAAGCUCAUGUCCCAAGCUACUUCCGACAAAACCAUGAGCAAUAACAGCCUGGUUGUCAUUCUCAACCCGCUCUGGGAUCUUAACACCAUGACCUUUCAACAGCCUUUUGGUCUGCACCCUUCUACUGCUUUGGUCAGCUCUCUUCAACCUGGGGCAACAGUGAAAGGCCACACUAUAAAAUAAGGGCUCGCCUGGCCCCUGCUACUGCUCCAGUACUGUGCGCUUUCCCUUUGGGGCUGUGCUUCCAGCCACCAAGCUCCAUCCCUACAGGAGCAGUAUCUGAGGAAGGCACAAGAACAAAGGAACAUCAGACAACACGUUCGGGGCUCUCAAAGACAGCUUCCAGCAUUUAUAGACUCGGAUCUACCAUGUCGUUCAGGAAUAAGGAGCCUUUCCAGGAUCCUGGCCUGCCCGCCCCACUCUCUGAAGCCCUAGCUUGCCUCUCUACAACAGCAGGCAUGUUACUUCACCUUCCAUGGGAACUCUCAGCACCCACCCUUCAGACUCAGAGCAAAGAACUCACCCUUCUCAGCUCCAACGCCAGAUUCCCCCACCCUAAACUCUUAUCCCCAAAUUAGCUUCAUUUUACCAUAAUUUAUAGUGAGGAUGUCCAUGUCUCUGAGAUUGCCUGAUUGUCAUCCAGAAGACUGUGGUCCUAAAUAACUUCCCCUCCAAAAAAAGAAAGUGAAAGCUAUGUCUGAUGAGUACACUCUGAGUUUGCCAUUUCCUCAGAGUAGGGCAGAAGAAAGGCUAAUCUGAACCAUUUCUGGAGUUCCCAGCUAGAAUUAGUAGGAAGCAGCCAUGCAUGCUGGACCUUUGGCCCUGAAGCACUGUGACCAGACAUCUCAAUGAGAAGUCACAUGAGCACAGAAUGCAGAGGCUUGCUUUCUGCAAGGGCAACCCUUAACCAACCUGGAUCCCAGUGCUCAUGCCUAGGAGCUGGCUUCUUCCACUUGCAAAUUAUUUGUCUUUUUAAAGAGCCGUGUGCUUUCACCCUUUGCCACGGGCUUUGGAAAAUGUUAUCUUCUAUGUGGUCACCAGGAUCCCUCUCUCAUGUCCUUGUCACCUCCACAGAGAGUUCAGAUGAGACACAAAGAACAUAGCAUAGGGGGUUGAUAGGUGGAGUAACUAUGGAGAAAAGCAAAACACUCUCUCUUGGGGUGUGCACGGAUGGUAGCCAUAGGGACUAUAUAGUCUCCUCCUCUGUCUUAGAUAGCAUUGUUAUCAUUUCUAGUGUCUCUACAGCAGGCAGCUUUUCCUGGGGGAACAUUUUUUUUUUAUCCAGGUGAUUGACAGCCCUGUGGGAAUUAGCUCUUACAGGUGGGGGCAAUGACAUAUCCCUUUUUUUUUUAAUCAGGGAGUUUCUAGCAGACAAUCGUCUUGGUCUUGUGAGGCUUAGGGCUCCUGGAGCCAGUUUAGAUAAACAUCGGCGGCAGAUCUUCCAGGCAGCUCAGGAUGUCGUGUCUCCUCCAAGGGACAGAGACAUGACUCAUGUUCUGUAGCACAGUUAAUAAAAACUCAGGGAUAGAUACUGGGGUUCAACCUGAAGACCAGAAAAACAAAGAACAUCCAGCUACUGGCUCUGACCUCAACCUCAGUCAGAAAAUAGCGAUCCCACCUCCAGGAAACCUCAGAAUAAAACGGAGAUCGAGAGAUGUCUCCUUCCAUCUCAUAAUCCCCUCUAGUUCUGAGAUUAAGGGCGUUCACCACAACUGCCUGGUUUCUAUGGCAAGCUAGUGCAGUUAUUGGGAUUAAAGGUGUGUGUCAUUGUGGCUACUGGGAUUAAAGGUGUGUGUCGUUGCUGCCUGGUCUGUAAGGCUGGCCAGUGUGGCUGCUUUACUUUCCUGAUCUUCAGGAAGGUUUAACUUAUUAAAAUACAAUGAAAUGCCACUACAAGGCUCCAUUCUUCCAAUCAGUAACUAAAGCCCUGUAGUUCUAGUCUUCGGUCUACAAGCUAUAGAUACUGCUGAAAACAGCCCAUCCCUAUGUCCCUCAGGCCUGUUACUAAAUAACUAGCUGCCUAACAAUAGGUUCAAGGUCACCAUGACUUUAUUCUUCCAAGGAGAAAUGGCAUACUCUUUCACCUUUGUGGAAGUGACAUGAUUCUGUGCUCAGAACACAUCCCCAACCCCAGUAAGACUGAGCACUGUUGGGUUUGGGAUAUUCCCAGAUUCCUCCUGCUGCCUAGCUGCUCCCAGACUUCAAGUACUUGGGUUUCUUUCCACCCUUGAAGAUGGUGAAGAAGCUGGGUAAUUCCUAAUUGUAAGGCCUUCCUGAGUGCUGUUCUCCCUGAUACACACCUCUCCAUCCCAGCACACACACCCCAAACCUAGCAACGUCCUAUUCUUCAAGGGCUGCUAGGUUACCUUUUGAUAGCUGUCCACCGGUAUGUCCAGCGGCCAGUCAACUUUCUAUUUCUGUCAUCAACACCUGGAGUUGAGAACUGACUGGGAAGAAAAUGGCUAUUUUGGCUCACAACUUGAGUUCAUGGUUGUUUGGUUCCAUUGAGGGGGAUCUGGGAUAAGUUUGGGCAUCAUAGCAGGGAGCACAGGGUGAUAUGAAGUUCCCCGCAUGCACUUCAAGGCUGCUGAGAAUCAAAGAGGAAAAUAAGAAGGGGUUUGGGUCUGAUGAUGAUGAGGCUUCCAUUAAGUCUAAGUCCUUAAGGGUUCUACCACUGCCCAAUAGCGCCACAAGCUGGCAGUGGAAUAUUAAACACAUAACCUUUGAAAGACAUUCUAGACCCAAAUUGCAAACCAAGCAAGGCUAGGACCUCCCCUUGGAAAGUUUUCACUGUGGGGCUGGAGAGGUGGUUCCCUGGUUAUGAGCAUAUAUUGCCCUUGCAGAUGAACCAAGUUCUGUUUCCAGCACCCCAUCAGACAGAGGACAACCCGUGCAUCUGUCUAUAUGUGAUACAGGUGAUGUUGCUCUUUUCUAAACCCCAUGGUGCAGAAACCACACUGCUCUCAUUUGCCCAGGACACUGUUCAUUAAUUCACAUCUUUUAAUUAAAGAAUAUUUCCCAAACAAAAGAUUAUUCAUCCCUGGAGCUAAACUCUGUAGAUCUUGAUAGGGCAAUAGGAGAGACGAGUUUUGGAGGCAGGGAGAAAAAUGUCUGGGUGGCUAAGAACACUUGUUGCUCUUCCAGAGGACUCAACUAAGAUUGGGUUGCUAAAUACCAUCUGUCACUCCAGCUACAGGGGAUCUGAUGUCUUCUUCUGGGUUACUUGGGCAUCUCUUUUGCCUAUGGUGUGUCCCUGUAUAUAAGCAGGCUUCUUCUUCUCCCAAAUGUACCAUCAACCCAUG